AGACUCUGGUUUCUCUUCAGAUCGUUUAAAUCUUUCACCUUUUAUUAAAGAUUUCCUUGGGAGCGCUCAGAGUUUAAGUUAAUUUUUUGUGGCCCUGCUUUAGUGGGGC